rnacentral:rRNA from 1 species
UACAGAGGGUGCAAGCGUUGUUCGGAAUUAUUGGGCGUAAAGGGCGCGUAGGCGGUGCUGUAAGUCUGUGGUGAAAUCUCUGGGCUCAACUCAGAGUCUGCCAUAGAAACUGCAGUGCUGGAGUGUGGGAGAGGUGAGUGGAAUUCCCCGGUGUAGCGGUGAAAUGCGUAGAUAUCGGGAGGAACACCUGUGGCGAAAGCGGCUCACUGGACCACAACUGACGCUGAGGCGCGAAAGCUAGGGGAGCAAACAGG